rnacentral:rRNA from 1 species
UACGAAGGGGGCUAGCGUUGUUCGGAAUCACUGGGCGUAAAGCGCACGUAGGCGGAUCUUUAAGUCAGGGGUGAAAUCCCGAGGCUCAACCUCGGAACUGCCUUUGAUACUGGAGAUCUCGAGUCCGGGAGAGGUGAGUGGAACUGCGAGUGUAGAGGUGAAAUUCGUAGAUAUUCGCAAGAACACCAGUGGCGAAGGCGGCUCACUGGCCCGGUACUGACGCUGAGGUGCGAAAGCGUGGGUAGCAAACAGG